GCCGAGGCGCCUCCCGUAGGGAGUCCCCGCGCGGUCGCGCCACCGCAUUCCCCGCAGCGGCUGGGGCUCCGGGCGUGCGGGGCCCCGAGACCGAGCCGGGCGCCCCCCAGCGGCCGGCGCGGGCCCCAUGGCUGGGCCGGGCGGAGCGGAACCGGCGAGGUGAAGCCCCGGGGCCGGCAGCCGGAGCGCGUGGCGGGGGCGCCGGCUCCAUGGGCAGCAGCGCACAGCGGCACGAUGAUGGACGUUAACAGCAGCGGCCGCCCGGACCUCUACGGGCACCUCCGCUCUUUCCUCCUGCCAGAGGUGGGGCGCGGGCUGCCGGACCUGAGCCCCGACGGUGGCGCCGACCCGGUCGCGGGCUCCUGGGCGCCGCACCUGCUGAGCGCGGUCCCGGAGGUGACGGCCAGCCCCGCGCCCACCUGGGACGCGCCCCCGGACAAUGUCUCCGGCUGUGGGGAGGAGAUCAACUACGGCAGAGCCGAGAAAGUUGUGAUCGGCUCCAUCCUGACGCUCAUCACGCUGCUGACGAUCGCGGGCAACUGCCUGGUAGUGAUCUCUGUGUGCUUCGUCAAGAAGCUCCGCCAGCCCUCCAACUACCUGAUCGUGUCCCUGGCGCUGGCCGACCUCUCGGUGGCCGUGGCGGUCAUGCCCUUCGUCAGCGUCACCGACCUCAUCGGGGGCAAGUGGAUCUUUGGCCACUUCUUCUGCAACGUCUUCAUCGCCAUGGACGUCAUGUGCUGCACGGCCUCGAUCAUGACCCUGUGCGUGAUAAGCAUCGACAGGUACCUCGGGAUCACGAGGCCCCUAACGUACCCUGUGCGGCAGAACGGGAAAUGCAUGGCCAAAAUGAUUCUCUCCGUCUGGCUGCUCUCCGCCUCCAUCACUUUACCCCCACUCUUCGGCUGGGCUCAGAAUGUAAACGACGACAAGGUGUGCUUGAUCAGCCAGGACUUCGGCUACACGAUUUACUCCACCGCCGUGGCGUUUUACAUUCCCAUGUCGGUGAUGCUUUUCAUGUACUACCAGAUUUACAAGGCCGCCAGGAAGAGCGCAGCCAAACACAAGUUCCCCGGCUUCCCGCGCGUGCAGCCGGACAGCGUGGUGGCGCUCAACGGCAUGGUGAAGCUGCAGAAGGAGGUGGAGGAGUGUGCAAACCUCUCGAGACUCCUCAAGCACGAGAGGAAAAACAUCUCCAUCUUUAAGAGGGAACAGAAGGCAGCCACCACGCUGGGCAUCAUCGUGGGCGCCUUCACCGUGUGCUGGCUGCCCUUCUUCCUCCUGUCCACAGCCAGGCCCUUCAUCUGCGGCACCGCCUGCAGCUGCAUCCCGCUGUGGGUGGAGAGGACAUUUCUGUGGCUGGGCUAUGCAAACUCUCUCAUUAACCCUUUUAUAUAUGCCUUCUUCAACCGGGACCUGAGGACCACCUACCGCAGCCUGCUGCAGUGCCAGUACCGGAACAUCAACCGGAAGCUCUCGGCCGCAGGCAUGCAUGAGGCCCUGAAGCUUGCCGAGAGGCCGGAGCGACCCGAGAUUGUGCUGUGAGGCCUGCAUGAGGAGGGUGAUGUCAAGACCAGAAACGAGGCCCAGGGUAUCUGAGAUGUUUGGGCGUUGGAAUCCCCAGACCGUCACAACUGGCUAGCAGACAAAACUCUGACUACUGUAGAAAAAAAGGUCAUGAUUCAUGAUCGAAAGCGGAAUAAUGGAGAGGAAAUAAACAAGGCAAAAUAGAGGUGGAAACAGAACGAAGCCAUUUGCGGAGACUGCAGACUGGAAUGCGGCUUCUUUCUUGAGAUGGCUAAACCCUGGCAAACAGUGUGAUCUGUUGUACAAAGUAUCUUACAGGGGAGAUCGUGACCUCUCCUUUUUCCUGUGGAUCAGUGCUAGUGUGUGUUCUCGGUUUAAGACAGCCAGAUCAUCUCAGCAGUAAGCACAUUAACAGAACUGGGUUCCAGAAAGGAAGCAGUUUCUGGUGCUUUGCAUAUGUCCAAAUCCACACAAGUGGGAGAAAGUUCCGAUGCACACUUCCCAUGCUUCCGAGUUUAGGCAUUGUGGUGACUAUUCAGGAAUCAUUCAUGAGACAGAAUGUAUUUUCUUGUAUGACAGAAGGGUUUUUCCAAGCAAACUGCGGUAAGCAUAGUGUUGAAUAUGUUGCAUGUCCGUGUUAGAAAACAGAAUCCAGUCAUCAGCUAAUACAAAAGAUUUCCCAGAGCAGUGUUUGUUUCAAGCUUCUGUCAAAUAGUUUGGCUUUUCUGCAGGGUCCCUGUGACUUCCCCUCCAGUGUACUUUCUCUGUUAACUCAUUUAUUGUUAUGGUGUAACUCAGGAACAGAUCUCAGGAUGGAGAGAAGCAUAAGAGUCAAGCUUUUUCUUGGGUCCUGAGAGGUGAGGGGGUUCCUCCUGUGAGGGUUUCUACCUGGAUGAAGUGCCAGUGCUACAUAACUGCAUUGUAAUUAACACGAUCAUUGGCAUGUUGUUGAAUCUCAGUUACAUAAUACAGGAGUGCAGCGGGCCCAUGGACCAGUCCAUAACCAUGUGUUACGUGGAAGAUGUGUGGGAAUAAUGGGUUUUACAUGAACGGUUGUGAUGUGUCUGGAGAUGCAGCAUAAACACGUUCGUUCUUGUUGAGCAGCAUUGUAUUAAAUUGAAUUGUGUGAAUCCAAGGUCAGCUAGACCACUCUUGGGAAAUGCUCCAGAAUGCUAUUCUGUUCCUUCUAGAGAAUUCGUUGUUGUGUUCUCUGUAUCUUAAAUUAAAUGUGUGCCUGGGCAAUUCUGUCCCUUGACCUCCCCGUUCCCCAUGGUAGACAUUAAGGGAAGGGAAGGAAACAGAAAAUGUCCCUUUGGGGAUAGUAUUUUUUUAAAAAAUGGUACUAUGUAAUAAGUAUGAGCUAAGGAGACAGAAAAGCACUAAAUCAGAAGAGUACCUAUACCUACAAGGGAAAAAAUGAAUGCAAGCCUUCAUUCGAUAGGAGAGAACUGAAAGAGAAUAUAUUAUUUUCCUACAAAAAAGAAAGCUGUCCUCUCACAGGACAAAGUGGAAUUCCAGCGUGGACUAUGGACUUCUUCCAACUUUCAUUGACAUUGCUUCUUACCAGACACGGGGAAGGGCUGCCUUUCCUGAAAGGGGAGGUGGGCACUGUCCUUUCAGACAAAGCUUGUACAAAUUCCUGAACCGCAGAUUUGCUAAAGUGACCGUAUAUACUUAUAUUCAUAAUUUAAAUGAUUAUUUAUGGUCAGAUACAUAUUGUUAAACUUGAAAAUGUUUUAUUACAUGACAUCAAAUAAAGUUUAUUUGUAGCUGAAAUAAAGCAACUUAAGUAAAGAUUUUUAAUUAAA